rnacentral:tRNA from 1 species
GGGGAUUUGGCUCAGUGGUAGAGAGAGCGCUUGCCUAGGAAGCACAAGGUCCUGGGUUCGAUCCCCAGCCCCG